rnacentral:rRNA from 1 species
GACGAACGCUGGCGGCGUGCUUAACACAUGCAAGUCGAACGGAAAGACCCUGCUUUUGUGGGGUGCUCGAGUGGCGAACGGGUGAGUAACACGUGAGUAACCUGCCCUUGACUUUGGGAUAACUUCAGGAAACUGGGGCUAAUACCGGAUAGGCGCUCCUGCUGCAUGGUGGGGGUUGGAAAGUUUCGGCGGUUGGGGAUGGACUCGCGGCUUAUCAGCUUGUUGGUGGGGUAGUGGCUUACCAAGGCUUUGACGGGUAGCCGGCCUGAGAGGGUGACCGGCCACAUUGGGACUGGGAUACGGCCCAGACUCCUACGGGAGGCAGCAGUGGGGAGUAUUGCACAAUGGGCGGAAGCCUGAUGCAGCAACGCCGCGUGCGGGAUGACGGCCUUCGGGUUGUAAACCGCUUUCGCCUGUGACGAAGCGUGAGUGACGGUAAUGGGUAAAGAAGCACCGGCUAACUACGUG